CUGAGUUCAUUAGAAUUACAAUACGGUCUUAGUUCGAAAAUGCACACACGCAGGUGCUGAAUACAUGAAAUAAAGCAAGUGACAUAGGCCUAAACUGAAACAUAAAUCCAAAAAUUAUAACAAGGUACAACAAUGAAACUAAAAUAGUCCACUGAGGACAACAUCUACUCCAUAGCUUGCUUAUCUGAUUAUUUUUUUUAGGAGUGGAAUGAGACAUAUUAAGCCUCAAUGAGUCCUACUAUCCAACUAGUAGUGACUAUACCGGGGAUACCUGAAUGUCAGUUUCUAACAUACUCUGAUAAACUCAUAAUAAUGAAUUGACAUAGAUAGAAAUAAAAGUGUAUCACCAAUUAAUUAUUUUGUUCAUUUUAAUCUCAAGUACACUCUGAGGCAAGCCGGUCUCGGAGUGUAUGCUACUGCGUACUUUGGAUAAUAAUUUACAUCCGUUUCCGCCUGAGCUCACAAUCUGAUACUGAACGGAGUACUAAUAGACUCCUCUGAUCUUGCUUCUGGAGCUCAGCUACAGCCACAAAUUUCCUCCCUUCAGUUCCUACUCAAACCCCAAACUGAGUUCUUGAAGCUUGAUGAAGAAAGAGUGGAUUUUCUAAGUGUUGGUGAUGUUAAGAAUGAAUGAUUCUGAUUGUUGUAUGAGUGGGUAUUUAUACAGAGUUUCUGAUAAACAAAACAACUGAGGUCUUGUCCUUUUCUUAAUUUGCAUGAAAUGGGAUUG
rnacentral:lncRNA from 1 species